CCUACGGGAGGCAGCAGUGAGGAAUAUUGGUCAAUGGCCGAGAGUCUGAACCAGCCAAGUCGCGUGAGGGAAGACGGCCCUACGGGUUGUAAACCUCUUUUGUCGGGGAGCAAAGCGAGUCACGUGUGACUCCUUGAGAGUACCCGAAGAAAAAGCAUCGGCUAACUCCGUGCCAGCAGCCGCGGUAAUACGGAGGAUGCGAGCGUUAUCCGGAUUUAUUGGGUUUAAAGGGGGCGCAGGCGGAGGUGCAAGUCAGACGUGAAAACCACAGGCUCAACCUGUGGACUGCGUUUGAAACUGUGGGGAUUGAGUGAAGUAGAGGUAGGCGGAAUUCCCGGUGUAGCGGUGAAAUGCGUAGAGAUCGGGAGGAACACCAGUGGCGAAGGCGGCCUACUGGGCUUUAACUGACGCUGAGGCACGAAAGCAUGGGUAGCAAACAGGAUUAGAUACCCGGGUAGUC
rnacentral:rRNA from 1 species